AGUGAACGCUGGCGGUAUGCCUAACACAUGCAAGUCGAACGGCAGCACAGUAAGAGCUUGCUCUUACGGGUGGCGAGUGGCGGACGGGUGAGGAAUACAUCGGAAUCUACUUUUUCGUGGGGGAUAACGUAGGGAAACUUACGCUAAUACAGCAUAUGUCCUACGGGUGAAAGCAAGGGAUCUUCGGACCUUGCCCGAUUGAAUGAGCCGAUGUCGGAUUAGCUAGUUGGCGGGGUAAAGGCCCACCAAGGCGACGAUGCGUAGCUGGUCUGAGAGGAUGAUCAGCCACACUGGAACUGAGACACGGUCCAGACUCCUACGGGAGGCAGCAGUGGGGAAUCUUGGACAAUGGGCGCAAGCUUGAUCCAGCCAUACCGCGUGGGUGAAGAAGGCCUUCGGGUUGUAAAGCCCUUUUGUUGGGAAAGAAAAGCAGCAGGUUAAUACCCCGCUGUUCUGACGGUACCCAAAGAAUAAGCACCGGCUAACUUCGUG
rnacentral:rRNA from 1 species